UGAGUUGGCCAAAAAGUUCGUUCGGGCUUUUCCAUAAGAUGUUACAGAAAAACCCAAACAAACUUUUUGGCCAACCCA
rnacentral:miRNA from 1 species